CGACCUCCGGGAGAAGCUGAACGCGGCCGCAGGUAGGAGGGGGAGUUGAACCCGCCGGGGAAUCUGUUUUUCUUUUUUAAUUUGUGGACUUGGAUUUCCAGCCUGAGCGCUCACGGUCCCCGAGGGCAUUGAGUGGAGCUCCUUUGUUUUGUGUGAAGUGUCCUUUGUACAGUCUGGGCCUCCCUGACGGAGAAAUCAGGAUGACAAAGGCUCUGCCGCCCGGCGUUUAGAACCGCUCGUCUCUACCUUCGAUCUUCACUCUUGAUUUACUGUGUGCCCUCUUCAUUGAUGUAUUCAGUGAUUUUGGCUCUCAAAUUCACUAACGACCUCCCUUUUACUCCCUUGCCUUCCUUGUUCUCCCUCACCCUUCCCUCUCCUUCAAUUUUGUUUUGUCUUUCCGACCCUUUUUUAAUCUCUUCCCUCUCCUCCCUGUCCUCCCCUUCUGUCCACAGCAGUGCAGUCCUCCUCUCUAGGGCGGACUAAGGUCCAGCCAACAGUCAUUGUAUCAGAAACAGACUCCACCCCCUCAGCAGACCCUCGCCCCGCCCCUUCAGUGGUCGUUUCCUCUGACUCCGCCCCCUCAGUGGUCGUUUCCUCAGCUGCCUCUGACUCCGCCUCCUCAGUGGUGGAUUCCUCUGACUCCGCCCCCUCAGUGGUCGUUUCCUCAGCUGCCUCUGACUCCGCCCCCUCAGUGGUCGAUUCCUCUGACUCCGCCCCCUCAGUGGUCGAUUCCUCUGACUCCACCCCCUCAGUGGUCGUAUCCUCUGAGUCCGCCCCCUCGGUGGUCGAUUCCUCUGACUCCACCCCCUCAGUGGUCGUUUCCUCUGCCCCCUCAGCUGCCUCUGACUCCGCCUCCUCAGUGGUAGUUUCCUCCGCCCCCUCAGCUGCCUCUGACUCCGCCCCCUCAGUGGUCGUUUCCUCAGCAGCCUCUGACUCCGCCCCCUCAGUGGUCGUAUCCUCAGCUGCCUCUGACUCCGCCCCCUCAGUUGUCGUUUCCUCUGAAUCAGUCCCCUCAGUAGCCGAUUCCUCUGACUCCACCCCCUCAGUGGUCGUAUCCUCUGACUCCGCCCCCUCAGUGGUUGUUUCCUCUGACUCAGUCCCCUCAGUAGCCGAUUCCUCUGACUCCAGCCCCUCAGUGCUUGUUUCCUCUGACUCCGCCCCCUCAGUUGUCGAUUCCUCUGACUCCGCCCCCUCAGUGGCCGAUUCCUCUGACUCCACCCUCUCAGUGGUCGUGUCCUCUGAGUCCGCCCCCUCAGUGGUCGCUUCCUCGGCCCCUUCAGCUGCAUCUAACUCCGCCCCCUCAGUUGUCGUUUCCCCUGACUCCACCCCCUCAGUGGUCCUUGACUCCACCCCCUCAACAGCCCCUUCUGUGGUGCCUCAACCUGACGCCUCAGAUGAUUCUGACUCCUCCAACUAUGAGAGCGACUCCUCUUCAACAUCAUACGACCCCGCCCCCUCUGAGGUGUCUGACCCCGCCCCCUCUGAGGUGUCUGACCCCGCCCCCUCCGAGGUGUCUGACCCCGCCCCCUCCGAGGUGUCUGACCCCGCCCCCUCUGAGGUUCCUGACCCCGCCCCUUCUACAGUAUCUGCCACUGACAUGGAGGUAGCGGUUGUGGAGCAGGAUGCACCUGCUACACCUCCACUGGGUAAAGAACUGCAAAAAUGGCAAAGAACAAAUCACAUAUUUGCUUGCAUUGAAUUUACGCCUUGAUGGGUGCAACAGAAAGGUUAUUGUCAUCAUUUUCUGGGAAACAUUUAAAUCCUACCCAGCUAUUGCGUGCAGCCAAAUCUACUUGUGAUGUCACUAGUGGAUCGAUUUUGAAAUGGCAUGUAAUGACCAAGCGGCAUUACUCGUGGUGCUAGAGAGUGACACGGUUAAACAAGGGAAGAUGUUAACCCAUGUUUCGUCUCCCCUUCCUCCCCUCCACCUCUACGUCUCCUCUACCCCAGCAGGAGAGACCGGAGACCUCCCAGCGCUGACUGACGCCGCCACCACCGAGCCAGCAGGGGGCGACCAGGACGCACCUGAACCCUCCGUCAUCGUGUCCUCAGGCUGAGGCUCCCGGGGACCCCCAAAGACACCCUGCUAAGGUUCCAAAGGAGAGAGUGAUGGAGAGCGGAGAGGAGGAAGGUUGGCCCGCGGCAGAGUGACGCUGACGGACUCGUAGCAUACUGAUCAUACUGAUCCCGGUCAAGGGACUGGAAGGGGUCACCAUCAUCAAUGUCACUACCAUGAUGUCACUACCACACUGACAUCACCACAAUGUCACUACCAUGAUGGGGGCCCUGUUGAGUGACAUCAUGGACCAAACUCUACUUUGGCUGUGCUGUCUCCCCCCAUAUGCCCUCCUUUUUUUUUUUUCCUCUUGAGUUGUGUUUAGGCAACACUAGGCGGUGGAAGACACUGAAGCCUUUUUUUUUUUUAAUCUAUAUAUUUUGGAAAGCUUUCAUCAUCCUCCGCAUCCAGGAGAAAACGACUUUUAUCUCCCCAUAUCUGCAAAUGAACGGCGUGGGUAGUGGUGUGUAUUUGCUUUGUUCUGGCCGCACAUUACUGCAGUAACGGCCGCACGGGAAGUGACUGAAGUCCUAGGAAUUAAGUCGCCUAAUUGGCUCUUUGAGGCUGACAGUCGCCCAAAAAAAAAUUUAUGUCUUCGCUUGGUUUUAAUGUUUCUAUGAGUUUAUAAAAUACCAAAUGUCAGUUAAUUUUUUUCCUCCGCAAACAAGAGCUCUCUCUCUAUUGAUGAAUAAUUGUCACCAUAUGUGCUGAAUGUGUGCAUUGGUGUGUUCCCAGAUUAUGAAAUAUGUUAUCAUGUUGCUAUAUGUGGGUGAAAGAAAUUGAACACGGGUUUGGAGGGCAAAACAACUGAAUUUAGCGCUGUUACCCCUCAUAAAUGUUUAUCUUCAGUUUGUGUCUGAAGCAACCUAAACAGAUUGGAGUUAUGGGUCAAUCAUGAAGACUCUAGACUGCUGCUGUGCAUGGGCCUCAGUCAACCGGCGGCCAUCUUGGUUCCAAAACGCUAGCAGGGUAUUCGAACGGAACACGGAAUUCUGCGUUCAGUUCCAUCACUACAAGUGUUUACAACAAGAUGACCGCCAGGUGAAGGGGGGCCAACAAACCUGUGUUUGCGGGAAUGGAUUUUUAUUUAAACUAAACAAUCAUGCAUCAACCAAGGAAAGAAUUUAUCCAUUUUUAAACUUUGUCGUCUGCUAUACUGUCUGCUAUACUGAGAAUCCUUCUCAUGUGGAGAAUAUGAAAUAUAUUUCCCCUAUUUUAUUAGCCAGGGGAGGCAUUUUAUUUAGAAGCAUUUUUUUUGGUCUAAUCAAGUUUACUGAUUUUUACAAAUUGCCUCCCCUAGCUUUAAGAGCUGUGAGAAUAUACGGCUAAUCUUACGUACUGACAGGUGACAGUGGUUGAAACCUGACUUGACCUCAGCAUACUACAAAGUGCUUUAGGAUGAUAUUUUUUACUACAUUUGAAUAGGUCUAGCUUUUAUUUUCAAUGAGGGUCCUGUGUUGAAAUCGCAUGAAGACACUGUUUUGAAAGAUGGAAAAUCGAUCAUGUUUUACUUUGCUGUAAAGAUGAAGUGGGUGAUGUCAUUAAGACAAGAUGUGACAUUGUGUCAACAUUAAUGAACAUUCCACGCUUUAUUUGUGGCAUGAUGGAGCAGAUGAUGAAAGGACCUUUCAGUGCUCUUAGUUUGGUGGCCAUUUUUUAUUUCUUAGCUGUUAAGACUGGGUGAUUGUAUUUGAAGUCAUCUGCAUUUCAAUGUAACAUCAGAUUAUAAAUGCCUUCUUGGAUCCUGCAAUUAAUUACAUUUUUGAUGAUUGGGUUUCAAAGGAAUGGAUGUUGAAAGUUUUACUCUUUUUUUUUUUGUUGCCUCUUGGAGCUGUCGGAUGUGCAAGCUUAUCCAUUUUAUGUAUAGAAGAUCACUGCUUGUACUGUUUAAAUUCAAUUAUCCAAUAAAAUGAUUGCUUUGGAGUGUGUGUGUGUGUGUGUGUGUGUGUGUGUGUGUGUGUGUGUGUGUGUGUGUGUGUGUGUGUGUGUGAGAGACAAUAGUAAUGUAGCAAAU
ensembl:lncRNA